rnacentral:rRNA from 1 species
GACGAACGCUGGCGGCGUGCCUAAUACAUGCAAGUCGAACGCAGUGGGGACGGGUGAGUAACACGUGGGUAACCUCCCAUCAGAGGGGAUAACACUUGGAAACAGGUGCUAAACCGAUACUGAUGGAUGGACCCGCGGUGCAUUAGCUAGUUGGGGGGGUAACGGCUAACCAAGGCCACGAUGCAUAGCGGACCUGAGGGGGUGGUCGCCAAAACUGGAACUGGGACAGGGCCCAGACUCCAAGGGGGGGCAGCAGUGGGGAAUUUUCGGAAAUGGACGAAAGUCUAACCGAGCAAGGCCGCGGGAGUGAAGAGGGUUUUGGGAUGGUAAAACUCUGUUGUUAGGGAAACGGUAUCAAACAAGAAAGACACGGUUAACUACGGGCCAGCAGCCGCGGUAAUA